rnacentral:rRNA from 1 species
UCUACGGGAGGCAGCAGUGGGGAAUAUUGCACAAUGGGCGAAAGCCUGAUGCAGCAACGCCGCGUGAGCGAUUAAGGCCUUUGGGUCGUAAAGCUCUGUCCUCAAGGAAGAUAAUUACGGUACUUGAGGAGCAAGCCCCGGCUACCUCCGUGCCAGUCGCCGCGGUAAUACGGAGGGGGCUAGCGCUAUCCGGAAUUACUGGGCGUAAAGGGUGCGAUGGUGGUUUCUUAAGUCGGAGGUGAAAGGCUACGGCUCAACCGUAGUAAGCCUUUGAAACUGGGGGACUUGAGUGGAGGAGAGGAGAGUGGAAGUCCUGGUGUAGCAGUGAAAUGCGUAGAUAUUAGGAGGAACACCAGUUGCGAAGGCGGCUCUCUGGACUGUAACUGACGCUGAGGCACGAAGGCGUGGGGAGCGAACGGGAUUAGAUACCCCUGUAGUC